UGUGGGAGCGGGCUUGCUCGCGAAAGCGGUGGAUCAGUUACUGUUGUAUUGACUGAUCCACCGCAUUCGCGAGCAAGCCCGCUCCCACA
rnacentral:antisense_RNA from 1 species